AGCGAACGCUGGCGGCAGGCCUAACACAUGCAAGUCGAACGAUCCUUCGGGAUAGUGGCGGACGGGUGAGUAACACGUGGGAACGUGCCCUUUGGUUCGGAACAACUCAGGGAAACUUGAGCUAAUACCGAAUGUGCCCUUCGGGGGCAAGAUUUAUCGCCAUUGGAGCGGCCCGCGUCUGAUUAGCUAGUUGGUGAGGUAAUGGCUCACCAAGGCGACGAUCAGUAGCUGGUCUGAGAGGAUGAUCAGCCACACUGGGACUGAGACACGGCCCAGACUCCUACGGGAGGCAGCAGUGGGGAAUCUUGCGCAAUGGGCGAAAGCCUGACGCAGCCAUGCCGCGUGAAUGAUGAAGGUCUUAGGAUUGUAAAAUUCUUUCACCGGGGACGAUAAUGACGGUACCCGGAGAAGAAGCUCCGGCUAACUUCGUGCCAGCCGCCGCAGUAAAAC
rnacentral:rRNA from 1 species